UAGACUAGUUUAUCAGAUGCUUAGUUUGGGC
rnacentral:piRNA from 1 species